AGCCAGCAGUUCUAGGUAAUUGAGUUUCAUCAACGCCAUCUGCAAUCGCGUUGCGACACGCCGGCAACCGGCGAGCGACUGGCCGUCACCGUGUUUGCUUCUCGCGAAUCGACAGUUGCACCAAAUACUGACCCGUGUUCUAAUCGAUCGAUGCUAAUUCGUCUUGCGGUUUUUUUAACAACUUGUAGAUGGAUAUUAGUCGUAAUAAAGUUUGGCAACGCUAUUCAAAUCAAUGAA